rnacentral:rRNA from 1 species
UACGGAGGGGGCUAGCGUUGUUCGGAAUUACUGGGCGUAAAGCGCACGUAGGCGGAUAGUUAAGUUAGAGGUGAAAGCCCAGGGCUCAACCCUGGAACUGCCCUUUAAUACUGGCUGUCUAGAGAUCGAGAGAGGUGAGUGGAAUUCCGAGUGUAGAGGUGAAAUUCGUAGAUAUUCGGAGGAACACCAGUGGCGAAGGCGGCUCACUGGCUCGAUACUGACGCUGAGGUGCGAAAGCGUGGGGAGCAAACAGG